UCAUCUGAUUCACACUAAUGCCA
rnacentral:siRNA from 1 species